GGAGAGAUGGCUGAGUGGUCUAAAGCGCUUGCCUGCUAAGUAAGUAUUCUGGGAAACCGGAAUCGAGGGUUCGAAUCCCUCUCUCUCCACCA
rnacentral:tRNA from 1 species